ensembl:snRNA U2 U2 spliceosomal RNA
AUCGCUUCUCGGCCUUUUGGCUGAGAUCAAGUGUAUUAUUUGCAUGGAAGAUCUUUUUCUAUUUCACUUUCAACCUAUUUUUGUCUUUGAUUCUAU